AUAAUCAAUAAUCUUGGCUUGUCCAUUAUUAUCUAUUUACUGUGAACUGCAUUAUUAUUUGACGUUUGAGGGAUGUUCCAAUGUUAUAAGGAUCGACAUUGGAGAUGUUAACCGAGUCAUAAUCAGGUUUAGGCCUGGUAUCCUAUUAUUAUUUACCAAAUGAAUUCAGAAUUAAUAUUGUAACAUAGACCUAAAAAAUCUAUAAAACAACUUUUAACAACGGAUCUCUUGGUUCUCGCAUCGAUGAAGAACGUAGCAAAGUGCGAUAACUAGUGUGAAUUGCAUAUUCAGUGAAUCAUCGAGUCUUUGAACGCAACUUGCGCUCAUUGGUAUUCCAAUGAGCACGCCUGUUUCAGUAUCAAAACAAACCCUCUAUCCAACUUUUGUUGUAUAGGAUUAUUGGGGGCCUCUCGAUCUGUAUAGAUCUUGAAACCCUUGAAAUUUACUAAGGCCUGAACUUGUUUAAUGCCUGAACUUUUUUUUAAUAUAAAGGAAAGCUCUUGUAAUUGACUUUGAUGGGGCCUCCCAAAUAAAUCUUUUUUAAAUUUGAUCUGAAAUCAGGUGGGAUUACCCGCUGAACUUAAGCAUAUCA
rnacentral:rRNA from 1 species